rnacentral:tRNA from 1 species
CCCUGGGUGGCACAAAUGUUUAAGCAUUUGGUUACUAACCAAAAGGUUGAUGGUUUGAACCCAUCCAUAGGAG